rnacentral:lncRNA from 1 species
CAAUUCCACCCCCUGUACUGACACAUCGAUAUUGAAAGUACAAGAUCCACCCAGAGUUAUUUGUUCUAUUUUAAAACUUGUACAAAAUCAGUUCAAAUUCUGGGAAUCCCGGAUGACGUAGUUGAAUCUGAUUGGAUAAGAUAGAAAAGUGAUGAGGGGAUUUUCCCCUUUCAAUUUUAGAAACGCCAAGAAUGUUUUGUUACUAGUCCGUCUGGCAUUUUUGGUUACAAGUCUUGGUUGCCCGAGGUCUAAAUGUUGUAGUCCUGGGCGUCGGGCUAGUGGAUUUCUUAACUCCUGAUACU